GAUGAACGCUGGCGGCGUGCCUAAUACAUGCAAGUCGAGCGAACAGACGAGGAGCUUGCUCCUCUGACGUUAGCGGCGGACGGGUGAGUAACACGUGGAUAACCUACCUACAAGACUGGGAUAACUUCGGGAAACCGGAGCUAAUACCGGAUAAUAUAUUGAACCGCAUGGUUCAAUAGUGAAAGACGGUUUUGCUGUCACUUAUAGAUGGAUCCGCGCCGCAUUAGCUAGUUGGUAAGGUAACGGCUUACCAAGGCAACGAUGCGUAGCCGACCUGAGAGGGUGACCGGCCACACUGGAACUGAGACACGGUCCAGACUCCUACGGGAGGCAGCAGUAGGGAAUCUUCCGCAAUGGGCGAAAGCCUGACGGAGCAACGCCGCGUGAGUGAUGAAGGUCUUCGGAUCGUAAAACUCUGUUAUUAGGGAAGAACAAAUGUGUAAGUAACUAUGCACGUCUUGACGGUACCUAAUCAGAAAGCCACGGCUAACUACGUG
rnacentral:rRNA from 1 species